ensembl:lncRNA
UUUUUGGAUGAACUAUCCCUUUAAACAGGUUUUCAUCUAUUUUCAUUGAUUGUGUUACAGGAAUUAAGCACCCCUCACCACAAGACUAGUCCAGGUAUGGAUUAUUACCCUUUGUUUUAUUACUGAUCUUGCCCAGUUUCUUUAUUUUAUAACUUAUGAAACUAAGCUGUUUCUCUUUCUAUAUCAAAUACUACUUUUUGCCAACAGAGGGCAGGAUGUCCCUAUCUGCAAAGAGAAAAAGAGAGGGUAGUACAGACAGUGAGAAGGAAAUUAAACGGCCGUGUGUAGAUUUCCAACCCACCUCACCUUUAAAGUUCGUCAGGCGUGCUUUUGUGAAGUCCAGCAAUGAGUCUGUGAUAACUAUAAAGGAGAAAGAGUCUCCUAAACCGCUUCCUGUCGCACCAAACAGCAGCAACAAACCGAGACCUCCUCCUUCCCUCGCUAGGCAGCUCUUUGAACCAUGUAAAAACUCAAAUACAGGGAGCGACAAACCUCACUCAUUUCAACUCUGUAAAUCACCCACGACUGCAGAGCCUAAAGACGCUAUGGUGGCACGAGCCAACAAAAAUCCCAAAGCUCCACCAAGCCAGCCGCAUUUGCGCAAAGUCUCUCCAAAGUCAAGCACAACGUUCGACAGCAUCGAGACUCUCUUUACUCCAGACUGCUGCUUGCCAUUGCCCAAAACUCAUAACAAAAAAACAAAUGCUGAGAGAGAAACUUGUACAGUCUCCAGACACACAAGCCCCACUUCUGACCAUAAGGAGAGUGUUAAAAUUCACUUGUCCCCUCAUCAUCCUGAUCUAAGAUCACCAAGCUUUGCAGAACAAGCCAAUUCAUGUAAGAUGGAAUCGGAUGAAAGAACGCAGUUGAAAGUGGAGCAGUCACGCAGCCCCAAGGCUAUCAUGCCUGCCCCAGCUGUUUUAGUGAAAGAAGAAUCAAGAGAACAGAAUUGCUGCCCCCAGUGGAAAGAUCCCUUAGAUAUUGAGCUGGGAGACGACUCUGGCGAUGAGCUGAGAGAACACUGCAAUAUCAGCCUCAGCAGCAGCAGCAGUGGUCAUGAAGAUGAUCCGCUGCCAUCUCUGGAGAAACUGAUGAGUCGGAGAGACCAUGUUCCGGUUACUCCCGAAAAAGAUGCUUUCUCAGAGCCCAAC